GCCAGCCAGGAAGGAGGAGGCAGCCAGAGUGUUCUCUGCAGCAGAAGACCCUUUGCUGCCCUGCUUAACCUAGACCAGCAUUUGCCAGGAGCACUUCCAGAUUGUCUGCAACCCUCCUUUCUUUCUUGGGAUCAAGAUUGAAGGCCAAACUAGACCCCAAACCAAAACACGAAGGGCUAGAAGGAACCUCACAGGAGAAAUGCAAUGGACAACAGAACAAUCACCUCUGGAAGAACCAUCAGGCUUGGUCUUUGGAGAAGCAUCAAAAGAAUGCCAUAGUUCUAUUGCCUACAGUAUAUAAAGUAAUAUGAAUGGGCUCUCAAGCAGGCCUUUUAGACAGCGAGAGAGCGGGCAGCCAUUUCUUUCAGUCCUUCUUGAAGAAUUAAGAGAACUUUCAGCUAGAGCUACUUGUACUCUGAGAUGAGAUAAGGAAAUCUCAAGGGUGUUUUGCUAUCCAUUUCAUGUUCCCUGCCCACACAUUAACAACUUGUUUGAACAAUGUGAGAUAUUUGAUAGUUUCCUUGUCAAAGUAAAUGUUUCCAUUGCACCCAUGGAAAGAAGUGGCUGGUACGUGAUUUUAUCUUAUGGUUCACAUCAUGUUUCUCUAGAGUUGUGCAUUCAAUAAAUAGGCUUUGAUUUUGGUUCUGAAGAACAGGCUACUAUUGGUUGGAAAUGUCUGAAUAAAAUGGUUUGAAUAAUACUAUAAUGGAAAGAUUGCAUUACAAUGUGUUAUAGAAGCCUUACUGGGGAAAUAAUUUCAUUUUUAUUGAUUUUAAGUUUUCAAUGGUGUCUUUAUACUUACUGAUGUCCAAGGCUAUCUAUACUAAUAAAAACAAAUAGUAGU